UCCUUGACCCCGCACGCAGUGGUGGCUGUCACCAAGAAGAACGCCAACGCCUCCAUGGUCUUCUCCUUCCUCUACAAACUGGUGGAGGUGGGCGGGGGUCCCAUCUCCACCCCAAAGGAGGGGUCCCACCGGGGGGGUCCCAGUCCCCAUCCCAAUGGGGUCCCACCUCUACCCCAAUGAAGGGGUCCCACCCAGGGGGCCCCAUCUCCAUCCCAACUGGGGGUCCCACCUCCAUCCCAACGGGGUCCCAACUCCACCCCAAUGGGGGGUCCCACUCCCCAUCCCAACUGGGGGUCCCACCUGCAUCCCAACGGGGUCCCACCUCCAUCCCAAUGGGGUCUCACCUCCAUCCCAGCUGGGGGUCCCACCUCCAUCCCAAUGGGGGUCCCACUUUCAUCCCAACUGGGGGUCCCACCUCCAUCCCAAUGGGAUCCCACCUCCACCCCAAUGGGGGGUCCCAAUCCCCACCCCAAUGGGGUCUCAUCUCCAUCCCAAUGGGGUCCCAUCUCCACCCCAAUGAAGGGGUCCCACCCAGGGGGCCCCAUCUCCAUCCCAACUGGGGGUCUCAUCUCCACCCCAAUGGGGGGUCCCACUCCCCAUCUCAAUGGGGUGGUCCCACCUCCAUCCCAAUGGGGUCCCAUCUCCACCCCAAUGAAGGGAUCCCACUGGGGGGUCCCACUCCCCAUCCCAAUGGGGGUCCCACUUUCAUCCUAAUGGGGGGGUCCCAUCUCCAUCCCAGUGGGGGUCCCACCCCCAUCCCAAUGGGGUCCCAUCUCCACCCCAAUGAAAGGGUCCCACCUGGGGGGCCCCAUCUCCAUCCCAAUGGGGGUCCCACUUUCAUCCCAAUGGGGUCCCACCUCCAUCCCAAUGGGGGUCCCACCUCCAUCCCAAUGGGGGACCCCACUUUCACCCUAACAGGGGUCCCACCUCCAUCCCAACUGG
rnacentral:lncRNA from 1 species